rnacentral:snRNA from 1 species
AAACUGAUCUUAUCUACUCUUUAGCGAGCAGGAUGGUUUUAACAGAGUGAAGCUCAUCUGCUGCACUCUAGGUGCACUCACCUCUGCAAUCUCCCCAAAUCUGACAAACAUGACACUCUAAUUUAUGGUAGUAGAGGACUGUGUUCAGGAUCUCCCCUGAA